rnacentral:rRNA from 1 species
GACGAACGCUGGCGGCGUGCUUAGCACAUGCAAGUCGAACGGAAAGGCCCCUUUGGGGGUACUCGAGUGGCGAACGGGUGAGUAACACGUGAGUAACCUGCCCUUGACUUCGGGAUAACUUCAGGAAACUGGGGCUAAUACCGGAUAGGAAUCCUUGCUGCAUGGUGGGGGUUGGAAAGCUUCGGCGGUUUUGGAUGGACUCGCGGCUUAUCAGCUUGUUGGUGGGGUAGUGGCUUACCAAGGCUUUGACGGGUAGCCGGCCUGAGAGGGCGACCGGCCACAUUGGGACUGAGAUACGGCCCAGACUCCUACGGGAGGCAGCAGUGGGGAAUAUUGCACAAUGGGCGGAAGCCUGAUGCAGCAACGCCGCGUGCGGGAUGACGGCCUUCGGGUUGUAAACCGCUUUCAGCAGGGGCGAAGCUUUUGUGACGGUACCUGCAGAAGAAGCACCGGCUAACUACGUG